ACGGCUACAUCACGUUAAAGCACCGAUUCCCGUACGAUAAGCGAAGUUAAGCAACGUCUAGCCUAGUCAGUACCUAGAUGUGUGACUGCUUGGGAAUAUCAGAUGCUGUAA